rnacentral:rRNA from 1 species
GAUGAACGCUGGCGGCGUGCCUAAUACAUGCAAGUCGAGCGAUGCGGCGCAAGGGGGAGUAAUGCCUAGGAAUCUGCUUGGUAGUGGGGGAUAACGUCCGGAAACGGGCGCUACUACCGCCUACUCUCAGAUGAGCCUAGGUCGGAUGAGCUAGUUGGUGGGGUAAAGGCCUACAAAGGCGACGAUACGUAACUGGUCUGAGAGGAUGAUCAGUCACACUGGAACUGAGACACGGUCCAGACUCCUACGGGAGGCAGCAGUGGGGAAUAUUGGAAAAUGGGCGAAAGCCUGAUACAGCCAUGCCGCGUGUGUGAAGAAGGUCUUCGGAUUGUAAAGCACUUUAAGUUGGGAGGCGUUACCAACAGAAUAAGCCACGGCUAACUUCGUGCCAGCAGCCGCGGUAAUUC